GGAGGAAGGUGGGGAUGACGUCAAAUCAUCAUGCCCCUUAUGACCUGGGCUACACACGUGCUACAAUGGAUGGUACAAAGGGCUGCAAGACCGCGAGGUYWAGCCAAUCCCAUAAAACCAUUCUCAGUUCGGAUUGUAGGCUGCAACUCGCCUACAUGAAGCUGGAAUCGCUAGUAAUCGCGGAUCAGCAUGCCGCGGUGAAUACGUUCCCGGGCCUUGUACACACCGCCCCGUCACACCACGAGAGUUUGUAACACCCGAAGUCGGUGAGGUAACCUUUUUGGAGCCAGCCGCCUAAGGUGGGACAGAUGAUUGGGGUGAAGUCGUAACAAGGUAGCCGUAUCGGAAGGUGCGGCUGGAUCACCUCCUUUCUAAGGAAUAUUAC
rnacentral:rRNA from 1 species